CACAUGAAUAACACAAUGGGAAACAUGAGUUGAUUCAUCUCGAGGAGUGAACGGAAUGUUAAAGAGCAACUAAAAAGCAGCCAUGACCUAGUAGAGUUAUAACUGGGGUUGAGAAGUGACUCAAAGAACAAAAAGAAAAUAAAUGAAGGUAGCAGACAUUUUUAGGAACGUCAACAAAGAACACAAAUCUGGCAUUUUAAAAAUGUUUUUCUUUUGAAGAAUCUGGGACCUGUGACCUGUUGAGUUUCCCAGAGUCUGGAUUUUCCCAAUUAUAUAGUGAUGGUAUGUUUCAACAUGUUCUUCUGUAUUUCCUGCAAACAGGCAGCUAGAUCUAGGAGACUGGAUCAGACUCAGGAUUGAUUCCUUUGGCACAUCUAUAGGAAAGGAGGCUUCCCCAAGUCGGCAACCACUAACAACCUACCCGGCCUGCCUUGCAUAGAUGGAGACAUGAGUAGAGGCGGUAUAGCAUUCUGUGAGGAGGCUGAAGCGGUACUACUAGCUUCAUUAGCUGCUGCACAGCUAGGUAACACUGGAGC